GGGCCAUUAACUCAGCGGCUAGAGUGCGUCCUUUACACGGAUGAAGUCGGGGGUUCGAAUCCCUCAUGGCCCA
rnacentral:tRNA from 1 species